UGACUCAAAACAGACAGGAGAGCCACAUUCUGGCUCUCCAUUACUAGCGGGCACCUUAGACAAGUCACCUGAUGUCCCUAACUUAGUUCCACAGUUCUGAGGGCCAGAUGGGGAGCAGUGAAUUGGGAGUUUUGUAAGGCUGUGUGCAGAUGUCUAGUGUUGAUUUUAAAUGCUGAGGGGCCACGGCAGGGAGGGGAGGGCCAUCAGGGAAGGCUUCCAGGGUUUGGAAACGAGGGCAUGGAUCGCUGGGUGCAGCUCGUGGCGAAGGGCACCGGACUGGCCGGAGUGCUCAAGCGGGCGAGCAUCUUGCUGAGCCUGGUUUGGGAGGCACAUUUGUAACAACGGGCGGCAGACUCCUUGACCUCAGCUUCUUUCAUCUGCAGGAAGGACGCCCCCUGGCCCCGUGGAAAGACUGUCCAGCAGUCCCGGGAGGGGACGGGCAGGGAAGCUCAGUUCCCCCAUUGCCCUGACCUGCUCCGCUCCCUCCCUGCAGCCCAUAUCUCCGCUCACCAGAGGGAGCAGACCAGACUGUGGCCUCCACUGAACGUGUGCAGCAGGGUGUCUCCAAGCCUCGCCACUUAGGACCCUCACAAGUCCCUGAUCUUGUGGUUCCUCAGCAUUGUCAGGAGAAAUUCUGUGAUCUUGCUUAUUCCUAUCUUGGGAAGUCCUUCCCAAUGUCUAACCAAGAUCCAGACUGCCGAUGCACCAGUUCUCUGACCCUUGGCUUGACUUGACUGAUUUGAAAGGUUUUAAAGCCCUUGGAGAAGUGAACUGUGGGGCCUCCAAGCUCCUGGCUCCCAGCCCCAGGUGGUGCAGGAAAGGACUGACCCCCACAGCUGUGCGCCGGACUCCUGGUUUCUGUGCAGCCCCUCAUUGGACCCUUUCCCGGGCACAGCUCCCCACACCCCAGGAAGGAAGGAACUGGCCUUGAUCAGGCACCUACUUGCCUGUACCAAAAAGGAGAACCUGCUUCACCAGGUGGCCUGGGUUUCCUCUAAGAAGCCUUCCUGGAUUGACUGAAAGAUGAGGCUAAAUUCUACUAAGUUGACUGCCUCCUCCAAGAAGCCUUUGAGGGGAUGGAAGGGGGAGACCUCAGCCUCCAGCCCGCACAGCCCGCUGCACCCGGAGCCCCUGGAAUAAGACUUGGCGUCGCCCUUGCUCCCCUCCUAUCCCAUCCCGGUUCCUCCUGUGUUGUCUGAGAUGGAAGUCCCACCUCCCGUCUAAUAAAGACUCCUGACUCCUGAACAGCA